rnacentral:rRNA from 1 species
GUCCACGCCCUAAACGAUGUCUACUAGUUGUCGGGUCUUAAUUGACUUGGUAACGCAGCUAACGCGUGAAGUAGACCGCCUGGGGAGUACGGUCGCAAGAUUAAAACUCAAAGGAAUUGACGGGGACCCGCACAAGCGGUGGAUGAUGUGGAUUAAUUCGAUGCAACGCGAAAAACCUUACCAAGUCUUGACAUCCCGGUGACCGGACAGCAAUGUGUCCUUUUCUUCGGAACACCGGUGACAGGUGGUGCAUGGUUGUCGU